CAGUAGCCGCGGUAAUACGUAGGGUGCGAGCGUUGUCCGGAAUUAUUGGGCGUAAAGCGCGCGCGGGUGGUUUAAUAAGUCUGAUGUGAAAGCCCACGGCUCAACCGUGGAGGGUCAUUGGAAACUGUUAAACUUGAGUGCAGGAGAGAAAAGUGGAAUUCCUAGUGUAGCGGUGAAAUGCGUAGAGAUUAGGAGGAACACCAGUGGCGAAGGCGGCUUUUUGGCCUGUAACUGACACUGAGGCGCGAAAGCGUGGGGAGCAAACAGGAUUAGAUACCCCCGUAGUCCCUGUCUCUUAUAC
rnacentral:rRNA from 1 species